AAAAAUUUAGUUAAUGUCUAUAACACUGGCUUGUCAAGCCAGAGUAAUUUAAAAAUUUGUAAUUUUUG
rnacentral:tRNA from 1 species